ensembl:lncRNA
ACAGAGACAGACAGACAGACAGACAGACAGACAGACAGACAGACAGACAGACAGACAGACACACAACACUCUUUGACCCAGUCUGAUGUAGACAAGUCUAACCCUUGUUAGCAGGGGUCUGACCCACGCUGCUACCCACCUCUUCCUUAAUGGUAUCCUGUAUAAGGCCUGGGAGACCCAACCAGCUCUCUGUCUGGAUAGUGUACGGGUAUAUAUACAGUAUAUGUGACUCUGUGAACUGAUUAUAUUCUUCUAUGUUUGUGUCUUUUGGUGUCUGCUCUGUUAUUGUUCAGUUUCUACACCCUGUUUUUUAAUCCAGUUUCGUCACCCUGUGUUUUAAUCCAGUUUCUACACCCUGAGUUUUAAUCCAGUUUCAUCACCCUGAGUUUUAAUCCAGUUUCUACACCCUGAGUUUUAAUCCAGUUUCUACACCCUGUGUUUUAAUCCAGUUUCUACACCCUGAGUUUUAAUCCAGUUUCUACACCCUGAGUUUUAAUCCAGUUUCUACACCAUGUGUUUUAAUCCAGUUUCGUCACCCUGUGUUUUAAUCCAGUUUCAUCACCCUGAGUUUUAAUCCAGUUUCUACACCCUGAGUUUUAAUCCAGUUUCUACACCCUGUGUUUUUCUGAAGCAACAUACAAAUUAAUCCAGUGUGGAAAUUGUAUUUAUAAUCCUGGUUGUGACAACCCACAGGUUGUGCGGGCUUUUUUUAAUCAGCCCAAAUACUUAAACUAACGAAUCAAAGUUAGUUAUUCAAACUCAAAACUCAUUCAAACUCAUGUGUUUCAAACAGCAGAGGUUAACUAACCUAUUCAUGUCAAUGCAGGACAGUUCACUUAUACCCAGCAGCUAUAGCUCCACAAAAAAACUAUGCACACCUGUGUUUUGUGUGUGGAAUGAUGAAUGACCAUAUUAGGCUUUAGUUAGUAAUGAAAGGUCCUAUGGUGAAUGACCAUAUUAGGCUUUAGUUAGUAAUGAAAGGUUGUAUGAUAAAUGACCACAUUAGGCUUUAGUUAGUACUGAAAGGUUGUAUGAUAAAUGACCAUAUUAGGCUUUAGUUAGUAAUGAAAGGUUGUAUGAUAAAUUACCAUAUUAGGCUUUAGUUAGUAUCUGCUGCAUGGGGUUACAUGAGGAAUCUCUCUCCACACACAUCAGUUCCAAUGAAAUACACUCAUCUCAAAUGUGUGUGUGUGUGUGUGUGUGUGUGUGUGCGUGUGCGUGUCUGUGUAUGUCUGUCCUUGUGUGUGUGUCUGUGAGUGCAUGCGUGUGUGUCUGUGUGUGUGUGCGUGCAUGUGUGUGUGUCUGUGUGUUUGUUGUCAAGAGACAAAACAGCAUGCUUCAACAGACUGGCUACGAAGUCCAUUCUCCUCUCUCUUUCUACUCUUCUCUUAGUUCUCUCUCUCUCUCACUCAUUCUCUCUCUCUCUCUCUCUCUCUCUCUCUCUCUCUC